rnacentral:tRNA from 1 species
GGUAAGGUGGCCGAGUAGGCGGUGGAUUGUAGACCCACAUACAGAGGUUUGAGCCCUCUUCUCACCA